GCUCGGAUGGUCUAGUUGGUUAUGACAUCGGUCUCAUAAUCCGAGGGUCGCGAGUUCGAAUCUCGCUCUGAGCA
rnacentral:tRNA from 1 species